AUAAAGUGUUUCGAGAGGGAAUCGAGAUUUGGUCCUCCAAAGUAGAGCGGUCGGGGACGAAGCCCGGCCCCGGAACCGCCGGAAAUGGCUUUUGUUUGAACCUAAUGAGCAACUGCCCGGCCACACGUGGGCCACGGAGCGCGGGCCGGCGGCACCCGGUGCGGUGUGUUAGCACGGGUGGGACGGGGAUGGCACGGGAAACGGAGUGCGACUGGGAUCCUGCCUGCUAAAAUUCCAAACGGAUCAGGAUUUCUCCCAGACACAAGCUGCAACCACUUAGAACCCCAGCUGCCUUUGACAGUGCAAAAUGCCUCUUCCCAACUGAUAUCGUGGAACUGGGCAGGUGGACUACAACUUCCUGAAAUUUUACGUUGUGUCAAGUAUAACACCUGAGGGUUUUUUCAGCAGGUUUGUCAUAUGACAAAAAGCAUCUGACCUGUCUUCAAGAUGAUGUUUGAGGUUGAAGCUUCAGGUGCCACUCAUAAUAAUAGCCACAGCCUUAGACUCUGGCUGAAGCUGGAGACUCAAGGACCCCAGCAUGCUCAGGAGAGGGUCAGUAGCUGGCAUGUGGGGAUUUGGCCCACAGAACACUGCUAUUCCUGGGAGCUGUGUAAGUUACUAAGAGACAGGAGCCCGGUGCUGGCAGCAAUUUCCUGGACAUUGAGGGAGACUUACUUCGCACCCAAACCGGGUUUGCCUCCCCAGGAAAUGAGACUGGAUAUCAGCAGGAAAGGCAGUGCCCUUGAACUACCCUGAGAUGGCUCUACCCAGCUGGCCCAGAGACCCAGUUCACUGCUCCUGUGAGCCCUCCAGCAGUAUUGCAGGACUCUGAUGAAGCCUUCACCUUCUGCAAUUUGAAGAUGCCAGCUGGGUGGCCUUUGGCAAGAGCCAAGCAGUUGAGGUCUAUUUUGUGAUGAUGGCAUCAGACUGAGUGCAGCUGAAAUGUGUGACCUGAGGCCCUGGGCAUUCUUGGGAGAUGCUGACUAAGGGACAACAGCCCAGUGAUAGCAGCAAUUUUCCAGACGGUGAAGCUUUUUUACUGCACACCUGGCAUCGAUUCUCGUACCUGGAUCUCUGACAGAUAAGUGCUGGGCUCCAACCUACAGAGGGGAUGGGAGCGGGAUGCUGGGUCUGUAAUUGUCAGGAGGGAUUUUUGAGGCAGCUUUGGAGCUGGGGAUGUCCAAGAAGCAGCCCCUUAUUUCCCCAUAAGGGGAGGAGUCUCAAUUUGAUCUCAAUGCAGAACAGGGCAGAGCAGUUCCUCGGGGUGUCAUGUCACUUGUCUCUUGUGUGGUCUGCGUCUUCUGUCUGUAUUGUGUUGUAUGACUCUUAGCCCUUUGAGGGGCCUAUCAGAAACCCUGGACUUAUCCAUAGCAUCUUGUGCUCUCUGCAUUCCUCAGCCUGGCUGCGGUGCCAUCAAACCUUGGUCUCAGGAGCUUGGACAGGCAUCUGACUCUCUUGUGUUUUGGAAAGCAUCCAGUCUGAUGUCUUUUAAGGUCUUCUUCUGAGAUGUGCACCUGAAGGAUCCAUUAUGUCAGAUUGGAACUGGGAAGAAUGGAAGAUAAGAAGAGGAUUCUCAGGCAUCCAUCUCUGCAGUUCUUGAAGCAAAUCAUUCUGCUGGGAUCUUUUUUCAUCGUUGUCAGCUUGCUCUCAUUCUUCCUGCAGUCAUCUCAUUUUGCUUCCCUCAGUCCUUGUGGUUCUUCCUCUUGCUCGGAUUUUUUUCCCUCCUUUGUCAUCCCCUCAUUUGUCAUGUCCUGUGUCACGGGUGCCUGCAUGCAUUUGGGUCGGAGCUGCUCUGCCCUGCUGUGUAGUCUGGGCAUAGGUGUGCUAGGACCAGUCCUGGGGACUUGCUUUUAGUAAUGUGGGGUGGUGUUGGACCCUAGAUGAAAUCUGGAGGUAUAAAGUUAUCCUGCAGCACAUUUGACUUCUGAGUACCUUCCUUUCAGAUGCAGAUGGAUCAGUUCUGAGACUGUGGGCCCAUCCUAGGAAAUGAAGCAGGAUAUCCACUGUCAAGGGGAAGCAGGCCAGGCAGUGUUGUUGAACUACUGAGAUGGCUCUGCCCAGCUGGCCAAGAGACCCAGUUCACGGCUCCUGUGAGCCCUCCAGCAGUAUUACAGGAGUCUGAUGAAGCCUUCACCUUCUUCUAUUUGAAGAUGCCAGCUGGGUGGCCUUUGGCAAGAGCCAAGCAGUUGGGGCAUGCCCUGCUACAACAGUGUCAGCUUCUGACUGCAGCUGAAGUGUGUGACCUGAGCCCCUGGGAAUUCCUGGGAGAUGCUGACUAAAAUACAGCAACCCAGUGGUGGCAGGAAUUUUCCAGAUAGCAGAGCAGCUCUUCACACCUGGCUUGGAUUCUCAUACCUGGAUCUCUGCCAGAUAAGUGCUGGGCUCCAAUCCCCAGAUGGGAUGGGAGCGGGAUGCUGGGUCUGUAAUUGUCAGGAGGGAUUUUUGAGGCAGCUUUGGAGCUGUGGAAGUCCAAGAAGCAGCCCCUUAUUUCCCCAUAAAGGGAAAAGUCUCUUUUUGAUCUUAAGGCUGUAGUACACAGGGCAGAGCAGUUCCUCUGGGUGUCAUGUCACUUGUCUAUUGUGCAGUCUGUGUCUUCUGUGUGUGUUGUAUUGCCUGUCUCUUGCCUUAGCCCUUUGUGGGGCCUAUCAGAAACCCUGGGCUCAUCCAUAGCAUCUUGUGCUCUCUGCAUUCCUCAGCCUGGCUGCGGUGCCAUCAAACCUUGGACUCAUUUGCCAUCUGAAUCUCUUUGCUUUUGAGGAGCAUCCAGUCUAAGGUCUUGUUCUGAGCUUUAUUGACAGCUGUGCACUGCAAAGUUCCAUUACUUGAGAUUGGGUCUUGGAAGAAUGAGAGGAUAAGAGGAUUCUCAGGCAUCCAUCUCUUCAGAUCUUGGAAGAAAUCAUUCUGCUAGCAGAUUUUCUAGCCUUGUCAGCUUGCUGUCAGUCUUCCCUCAGUCAUCUCAAUUUGCAAUCUAUGUCCUCAUGGUCCUUCCUGCUGAGAGAUUUAAUUUUUUUCCUCCCCCUGUCCUCUCCUCGUUUGUCAUGUCCUGUGUCACGGGUGCCUGCAUGCAUUUGGGUGAGAAGCUGCUCUGCCCUGUUGUGUAGUCUGGGUGUACGUGUGCUAGGACCAGUCCUAGGGACUUGAUCUUUUGUAAUGUGGGGUGUAGCUGCACUCUAGACAUCUGCAGAUUGAUCCAAGAAGUCUGGAGUUGUUAAGUUAUCCUGCAGCACUUUGACUUUUGUCAUACCUUCCUUUCAGAUGCAGAUGGAUCCAACCAUGGGACAAGGGCCCCUCCUGGUGCCCUUGAACUACCCUGCGAUGGCUCUGCCCAGCUGGCCAAGAGACCCAGUUCACGGCUCGUGUGAGCCCUCCAGCAGUAUUGCAGGACUUUGAUGAACCUUCACCUUCUCCUGUUUGAAGAUGCCAGCCAGGCAGCCUUUUGCAAUGGCCGAGCAGUUGGGGCCUACCCUGCUAGGACAGUCUCAGCCUCUGACUGCAGCUGAAGCAUGUGAGGUGAGCCCCUGGGCAUUCCUGGGAGAUGCUGACUAAGGGACAACAGCCCAGUGAUGGCAGGAAUUUCCCUGAUGGUGAAGCUUUUUUACUCUACACCUGGCAUGGAUUCUCAUAUCUGGAUCUCUGACAGAUAAGUGCUGGGCUCCAACCCACAGAGGGGAUGGGAGCAGGAUGCUGGGUCUGUAAUUGUCAGGAGGGAUUUUUGAGGCAGCUUUGGAGCUGGGGAUGUCCAAGAAGCAGCCCCUUAUUUCCCCAUAAGGGGAAGAGUCUCAAUUUGAUCUCAAUGCUGAGUUGCACAGGGCAGAGCAGUUCUUCUGGGUGUCAUGUCACUUGUCUCUUGUGCAGUCUGUGUCUUCUGUGUGUGUUGUAUUGCCUGUCUCUUGCCUUAGCCCUUUGAGGGGCCUAUCAGAAACCCUGAGGUCAUCCAUAGCAUCUUGUGCUUUCUGCAUUCAUCAACCUGGCUCUGGUGCCAUCGAACCUUGGUCUUAGGAACUUGGACAGGCAUCUGACUCUCUUCUCUUUUGGAAAGCAUCCAGUCUCAUCUCUUAAGGUCUUGCUCUGUGCUGUAUUGCCAGCUGUGCACCUGAAGGAUCCAUUACAAGAGAUGAGGAAUUAGAGGAAUGGGAAGUUAAGAAGACGAUUCUGAGGCAGCCGUCUCUGCAGUUCUUGGAGCAAAUCAUUCUGCUGGCAUCUUUUUCCAGCCUUGUCAGCUUGCUGUCAGUCUUCCCUCAGUGAUCUCAUUUUGCAUUCUCUCAGUCCUCGUGGUCCUUCUUGCUGAGUUUUUUCGUCCCCCUGUCCUCCCCUCGUUUGUCAUGUCCUGUGUCAUGAGUGCCUGCAUGCAUUUGGUCUGGAGCUGCUCUGCCCUGAUGCCUAGUCAAGAUAGGACAAGGUGCAGGGACUUGCGUUUUGUAACGUGGGGUGGUGUUGGACUCUAAGAUAAGAUCUGCACAUUCACUCAAGAUGUCUGUGGCUGUCCAGCUAUUAUGCUGGGCUUUAAAUUUUGUUCUAAGUUCUUUUUACCUGCAGAUGGUUUACAUCUGAGUCAGAGGGCUCAUCCUGGGUGAGGGGCUUUCCCUGAGGAAGUUAGAUACUCUUUGUCUUUGCAGGAGAAACCUUAAUGGUGACUGUGUUUAUAGCACUUUUCUUUAAUUUUUUAGGACACGAAGCCAGAUAGCAGCAGUCAAGUUGCAGUGGGCAAGGCCAUCCACUUGGAUUUACUUUCAUCGAGGAAGGAUUUUUUGUCCGCUCGUCUUUCUGAAGGUAAGUCUCUGGGCCAGCAUUUGGG